rnacentral:rRNA from 1 species
ACGCACGCUGGCGGCGUGCUUCACCCCUGCCAGUCGAACGGAAAGGCCCUGCUUUUGUGGGGUGCUCGAGUGGCGAACGGGUGAGUAACACGUGAGUAACCUGCCCUUGACUUUGGGAUAACUUCAGGAAACUGGGGCUAAUACCGGAUAGGAGCUCCUGCUGCCUGGUGGGGGUUGGAAAGUUUCGGCGGUUGGGGAUGGACUCGCGGCUUAUCAGCUUGUUGGUGGGGUAGUGGCUUACCAAGGCUUUGACGGGUAGCCGGCCUGAGAGGGUGACCGGCCACAUUGGGACUGAGAUACGGCCCAGACUCCUACGGGAGGCAGCAGUGGGGAAUAUUGCACAAUGGGCGGAAGCCUGAUGCAGCAACGCCGCGUGCGGGAUGACGGCCUUCGGGUUGUAAACCGCUUUCGCCUGUGACGAAGCGUGAGUGACGGUAAUGGGUAAAGAAGCACCGGCUAACUACGUG